rnacentral:rRNA from 1 species
AUUGAACGCUGGCGGCAGGCCUAACACAUGCAAGUCGAACGAGUGGCGGACGGGUGAGUAAUGUCUGGGAAAGUGCCCGAUGGAGGGGGAUAACUACUGGAAACGGUAGCUAAUACCGCAUACCAUCGGAUGUGCCCAGAUGGGAUUAGCUUGUAGGUGAGGUAACGGGUCACUUAGGCGACGAUCCCUAGCUGGUCUGAGAGGAUGACCAGCCACACGGGAACUGAGACACGGUCCAGACUCCGACGGGGGGCAGGAGUGGGGAAUAUUGCACAAUGGGCGCAAGCCUGAUGCAGCCAUGCCGCGUGGAUGAAGAAGGCCUGCGGGUUGUAAAGUACUUUCAGUGGGGAGGCGUUACCCGCAGAAGAAGCGCCGGCUAACUCCGUGCCAGCAGCCGCGGUAAUAC